UACGGGGGGGCAAGCGUUGUUCGGAAUUACUGGGCGUAAAGGGCUCGUAGGCGGCCAACUAAGUCGGAUGUGAAAUCCCCAGGCUUAACCUGGGAACUGCAUCCGAUACUGGAUGGCUUGAAUCCGGGAGAGGGAUGCAGAAUUCCAGGUGUAGCGGUGAAAUGCGUAGAUAUCUGGAGGAAUACCGGUGGCGAAGGCGGCAUCCUGGACCGGCAUUGACGCUGAUGAGCGAAAGCUAGGGGAGCGAACGGG
rnacentral:rRNA from 1 species